rnacentral:rRNA from 1 species
UUGUAGUCAUAUGCUUGUCUCAAAGAUUAAGCCAUGCAUGUCUAAGUAUAAGCAACUAUACGGUGAAACUGCGAAUGGCUCAUUCAAUCAGUUAUCGUUUAUUUGAUAGUACCUUACUACUUGGAUAACCGUGGUAAUUCUAGAGCUAAUACAUGCUAAAAACCCCAACUUCGGAAGGGGUGUAUUUAUUAGAUAAAAAACCAACGCCCUUCGGGGCUCCUUGGUGAUUCAUAAUAACUAAACGAAUCGCAUGGCCUUGCGCCGGCGAUGGUUCCAUCAAAUUUCUGCCCUAUCAACUUUCGAUGGUAGGAUAGUGGCCUACCAAGGUAUCAACGGGUAACGGGGAAUGGGGCG